UACAGAGGGGGCAAGCGUUGUUCGGAAUUACUGGGCGUAAAGGGCGCGUAGGCGGCCUGCUAAGUCGAACGUGAAAUCCCCGAGCUCAACUCGGGAACUGCGUCCGAUACUGGCAGGCUUGAAUCCGGGAGAGGGAUGCGGAAUCCCAGGUGUAGCGGUGAAAUGCGUAGAUAUCUGGAGGAACACCAAUGGCGAAGGCGGUUCUCUAGUACGGUACUGACGCUGAGACGCGAAAGCGUGGGGAGCGAACAGG
rnacentral:rRNA from 1 species